rnacentral:rRNA from 1 species
GACGAACGCUGGCGGCGUGCUUAACACAUGCAAGUCGAACGGAAAGGCCCUGCUGUGUUGGGGUGCGCGAAUGGCGAAAGGGUGAGUAACACGUGAGUAACCUGCCCUUGGCUUUGGUAUAACUUCAGGAAACUGGGGCUAAUACCGGAUAGGAGCUCCUGCGGCAUGGUGGGGGUUGGAAAGUUUCGGCGGUUGGGGAUGGACUCGCGGCUGAUCAUCGUGUUGGUGGGGUAGUGGCUUACCAAGGCUUGGACGGGUAGCCGGCCUGAGAGGGUGACCGGCCACAUUGGGACUGAGAUACGGCCCCGACUCCUACGGGAGGCAGCAGUGGGGCAUAUUGCACAAUGCGCGGCAGCCUGAUGCAGCAACGCCGCGUGCGGGAUGACGGCCUUCGGGUUGUAAACCGCUUUCGCCUGUGACGAAGCGUGAGUGACGGUAAUGGGUAAAGAAGCACCGGCUAACUACGUG